rnacentral:rRNA from 1 species
UAGGGAAUCUUCGGCAAUGGACGGAAGUCUGACCGAGCAACGCCGCGUGAGUGAAGAAGGUUUUCGGAUCGUAAAGCUCUGUUGUAAGAGAAGAACGAGUGUGAGAGUGGAAAGUUCACACUGUGACGGUAUCUUACCAGAAAGGGACGGCUAACUACGUGCCAGCAGCCGCGGUAAUACGUAGGUCCCGAGCGUUGUCCGGAUUUAUUGGGCGUAAAGCGAGCGCAGGCGGUUAGAUAAGUCUGAAGUUAAAGGCUGCGGCUUAACCAUAGUAGGCUUUGGAAACUGUUUAACUUGAGUGCAAGAGGGGAGAGUGGAAUUCCAUGUGUAGCGGUGAAAUGCGUAGAUAUAUGGAGGAACACCGGUGGCGAAAGCGGCUCUCUGGCUUGUAACUGACGCUGAGGCUCGAAAGCGUGGGGAGCAAACAGGAUUAGAUACCCUGGUAGUCCACGCUGUAAACGAUGAGUGCUAGGUGUUAGACCCUUUCCGGGGUUUAGUGCCGUAGCUAACGCAUUAAGCACUCCGCCUGGGGAGUACGACCGCAAGGUUG